UGAGGGAUAUUGCGCAAUGGGCGAAAGCCUGACGCAGCGACGCCGCGUGGGUGAUGAAGGUCUUCGGAUCGUAAAGCCCUUUUCUGCGUGACGAGGAUGACGGUAGCGCAGGAAGAAGUGUCGGCUAACUACGUGCCAGCAGCCGCGGUAAAACGUAGGACGCAAACGUUAUCCGGAAUUACUGGGCGUAAAGGGCGCGCAGGCGGUCGGGUAAGAGAGGCAUGAAAGCCUCAGGCUAAACCUGGGGAGGCUGUCUGAGACUGUCCGACUGGAGUGCGAUAGAGGGGUGUAGAAUUCCGCGUGUAGUGGUGAAAUGCGUAGAGAUGCGGAGGAAUACCAGAGGCGAAGGCGGCACCCUGGAUCGUAACUGACGCUGAGGCGCGAAAGCAUGGGUAGCGAACGGGAUUAGAAACCCCGGUAGUCCAUGCCGUAAACGAUGUGCACUCGAUGUUCGGCCUACAUUGUAGGUUGAGUGUCUAAGCC
rnacentral:rRNA from 1 species